AUUCCAGCUCCAAUAGCGUAUAUUAAAGUUGUUGCAGUUAAAAAGCUCGUAGUUGGAUUUCUGAUAGGGAGCCGAUCACCACUGUUGUGAGUGUUAGGUACCUGUCAUCCUUCUGUUAACCCCUGCGGCAUUCAUUUGUCGUUGGGCGGACCAGAUACUUUACCUUGAGAAAAUUAGAGUGUUUCAGGCAGGCCUAGCCGGAAUACAUUAGCAUGGAAUAAUGGAAUAGGACUAUAGUCUCGUCGUUGGUUACGUGGACUGCAGUAAUGAUUAAUAGGGAUAGUUGGGGGCAUUAGUAUUUAUUAGCUAGAGGUGGAAUUCCCUAAUUUGAUAAAGACUAACUUAUGCGAAAGCAUUUGCCAAGGAUGUUUUCAUUG
rnacentral:rRNA from 1 species